AAAUGGCUGUGAAGAUGCGGCCAACUUACACCAGGACAAAAAGACCCCGUGGAGCUUUACUGCAACUUGGCAUUGUUUCAAUUGACGAAACUGUAUAGCGUAGGAGGGAGGUACGUUCAGUUACAUGAACGUACCGCCAAUGUAACACCUCUCUUUUCGACUAUUGGAACUUACCGCUUGUCCUAACAAAAUACGGGAGGCGGGACAAUGUCUGGUGGGCAGUUUGACUGGGGCGGUCGCCUCCAAAAGAGUAACGGAGGCGUACAAAGGUCGACUCAAGUCCUACAGAAACGGACUUUUAGAGUGCAAUGGCAUAAGUCGGCUUGACUGCAAGUGGUACAUCACGAGCAGGUGCGAAAGCAGGUCAUAGUGAUCCUCCGCUGGUUCAUGGGAACCGCGGAGCUUAACGGAUAAAAGCUACCCCGGGGAUAACAGGCUGAUCUUCUCCAAGAGUCCAUAUCGACGAGAAGGUUUGGCACCUCGAUGUCGGCUCAACGUAUCCUCCCGCUGAAGUAGGCGGGAAGGGUCGGGCUGUUCGCCCGUUAAAACGUUACGCGAGCUGGGUUCAGAACGUAAAUUACAUUGCGUUCUACCGUAGCAAUACGGUACAAUAAAU
rnacentral:rRNA from 1 species